CUGAAUAGUGGAGGUUGAACCUGGCAUAUAACUCCAGGGGCUUGUCAGCACAGGACUGAAUAGUGGAGGUUGAACCAAUAAUAUAACUCCAGGGGCUUGUCAGCAUAGGACUGAAUAGUGGAGGUUGAACCUGGCAUAUAACUCCAGGGGCUUGUCAGCUCAUAGGACUGAAUAGUGGAGGUUGAACCUGGCAUAUAACUCCAGGGGCUUGUCAGCACAGGACUGAAUAGUGGAGGUUGAACCAAUAAUAUAACUCCAGGGGCUUGUCAGCAUAGGACUGAAUAGUGGAGGUUGAACCUGGCAUAUAACUCCAGGGGCUUGUCAGCUCAUAGGACUGAAUAGUGGAGGUUGAACCUGGAAUAUAACUCCAGGGGCUUGUCAGCUCAUAGGACUGAAUAGUGGAGGUUGAACCUGGCAUAUAACUCCAGGGGCUUGUCAGCUCACAUAUCAGUGUUGUUUCCAGCACUUUACACCUGUUCUAACCAUUACUCUGCCAGGUUUGACCCACUGAGAUAAAACUUUGUAACAGAUUGACAAUUUGGCACCAAGAGUUACACGAUGAUACCAGAGAAAGUUGACUUUCAACAACAAGCGCUAAUGGCUAACGCCCUGUAUGGUUGGAAGCAGAGGGCUACCAGCUAGCCAUUUGAUUUUGUCUGCCUAGCAACAGACAGAGGGGCGCUCGCUCGAUCACACCAGUCUAGCACCAGAGGGUCUGCCACAGCACUCGCUAGCUAACGUCUCCUCCCAGACAGAGAGCACUAGAACACAUCAGGACACAGACUGGGAUUAGCUAUGAAGUGCUAUGUAGGGGCUAUUAAGGUCUUACGACAGCCUACGGCAGGCUCUUAGCACAGCCUAACUGUCUUCGCAUAACUACAAAAGUCUUCCAUUAUAGUCUAUGCUCUAAAUGUCUCUUUGUCCUAGUGCUGUAGCACUACCAGUGGAAUGUCAAUUAGUGGCUGUAGACAACGUGUCCCGUGUGGCUCACCUGGUGGAGCAUUAGGCUUGCAACGCCAGGGUUGUGGGUUCGAUUCCUACAGGGGACCAGUAAGAACAAGUAUGCACUCACAACUCUAAGUCGCUCUGGAAAAGAGUGUCUGCUAAAUGACUAAAAUAUAAAUGUCAAAACAGAUGAACGUAUAGAGUUGCUAGCGUUUCACAAUUGAACGCAAUGCAACGCUAGCAACAGACAGAACCAGUCGCUAACAGUGACGAGAUGUCACAAACAUAGCCAACGGGUCAGUUAGCAAACAUAGGUUAAAACUAGUAAAUGCUAGUACAGCAGGUUUAACCCUCGCCCUGCCAGAUGUUAGUGCACAGAAUAAAACACAGUGUAGGUCAGACGAGUGCUGAGUAUAGCGCCCUCUACCUGAAGAGAUGUCCUGAUUCUCCUACAUACAGAUAGAAAACACACACAACAAGUAGAGAAAGUCACCACUAACACAUAAACAACACAGUUGAUGAUACCAGUUAAGACUACACAGUUCCACAGCUGUACAAAGUGAAUGAUAUGUCCACAUGUAGAAUUAUCUGAUUAUAAUCCAGAUGAGUCAUUUCUGACAUCGGCUUGGUAUACCACCUGUCCCGGUCAGGAUGCUAGUUACCAGCAAAGAUGGCACGGCAGAAGUUGAAGAGAGAGAACGAGAGAUAUACCUCAUGGCAAACCAGCAAGAACACUGCAUCAAAUUCAGUCUAGAAUUCUAGACAGAGCCUACAUUUACAUAAAGAGGUUAGAGGUUCUACACACUAACACCCCACCAGUAGUCUAGACUGUUUCUCCUGGUUAUCACCACCCCACCAGUAGUCUGGUCCUGUCUGGACUGUUUCUCCUGGUUAUCACCACCCCACCAGUAGUCCUGGACUGUUUCUCCUGGUUAUCACCACCCCACCAGUAGUCUGGACUGUUUCUCCUGGUUUUCACCACCCCACCAGUAGUCUGGUCCUGUCUGGACUGUUUCUCCUGGUCGUCACCACCCCACCAGUAGUCUGGUCCUGUCUGGACUGUUUCUCCUGGUUAUCACCACGCUACCAGUAGUCUGGUCCUGUCUGGACUGUUUCUCCUGGUUAUCACCACCCCACCAGUAGUCUGGUCCUGUCUGGACUGUUUCCCCUGGUUAUCACCACCCCACCUGUAGUCUGGUCCUGUCUGGACUGUUUCUCCUGGUCAUCACCACCCCACCAGUAGUCUGGUCCUGUCUGGACUGUUUCUCCUGGUUAUCACCACCCC
ensembl:lncRNA